rnacentral:rRNA from 1 species
UACGGGGGGGGUAAGCGUUGUUCGGAAUUACUGGGCGUAAAGGGCUCGUAGGCGGCCAACUAAGUCAGACGUGAAAUCCCUCAGCUUAACUGGGGAACUGCGUCUGAUACUGGAUGGCUUGGAUUCGGGAGAGGAAUGCGGAAUUCCAGGUGUAGCGGUGAAAUGCGUAGAUAUCUGGAGGAACACCGGUGGCGAAGGCGGCCCACUGGUCCGGUACUGACGCUGAGGUGCGAAAGCGUGGGGAGCAAACAGG